rnacentral:rRNA from 1 species
UACGUAGGUGGCGAGCGUUGUCCGGAAUUACUGGGCGUAAAGAGCGCGCAGGCGGUCGUUCAAGUCGCGUGUGAAAGCCCCCGGCUCAACUGGGGAGGGUCACGCGAUACUGAUCGACUCGAAGGCAGGAGAGGGUAGUGGAAUUCCCGGUGUAGUGGUGAAAUGCGUAGAUAUCGGGAGGAACACCAGUGGCGAAGGCGACUACCUGGCCUGUUCUUGACGCUGAGGCGCGAAAGCUAGGGGAGCAAACGGG